rnacentral:rRNA from 1 species
ACGAAGACCAGCGCCGAAGGGGGCUCUCUGGCUAUUAACUGACGCUGAGGCGCGAAAGCAUGGGUAGCAAACAGGAUUAGAUACCCUGGUAGUCCACGCCGUAAACGAUGAGUACUAGAUAUUGGAGCCUUUGACCGCUUCAGUGUCGCAGCUAACGCAUUAAGUACUCCGCCUGGGAAGUACGGUCGCAAGACUAAAACUCAAAGGAAUUGACGGGGGCCCGCACAAGCGGUGGAUUAUGUGGUUUAAUUCGAAGCAACGCGCAAACCUUACCUAGGCUUGAAAUCCCGAGAAGAUCGACCAAAAUUGAUUGUGCUCUUCGGAGAACUCGGUGACAGGCGCUGCAUGCUGUCGUCAGCUCGUGUCGUGAGAUGUUGGGUUAAGUCUCGCAACGAGCGCAACCCCUAUCCUUAGUUGCCAGCAUUAAGUUGGGCACUCUAGGGAGACUGCCUGGGUUAACCAGGAGGAAGGUGGGGAUGACGUCAAGUCCUCAUGGCCCUUAUGUCUAGGGCUACACACGUAAUACAAUGGUGCAUACAAAGAGACGCGAUCAGGUGACUGUCAGCAAAUCUCAAAAAGUGCAUCUCAGUCCGGAUUGGAGUCUGCAACUCGACUCCAUGAAGUUGGAAUCGCUAGUAAUCGCAGAUCAGCACGCUGCGGUGAAUACGUUCCCGGGCCUUGUACACACCACCCGUCACACCAUGGGAGUUGAUCUUC